GAUGAACGCUGGCGGCGUGCCUAAUACAUGCAAGUCGAGCGAACAGAUGAGGAGCUUGCUCCUCUGACGUUAGCGGCGGACGGGUGAGUAACACGUGGAUAACCUACCUAUAAGACUGGGAUAACUGCGGGAAACCGGAGCUAAUACCGGAUAAUAUAUUGAACCGCAUGGUUCAAUAGUGAAAGACGGUUUUGCUGUCACUUAUAGAUGGAUCCGCGCCGCAUUAGCUAGUUGGUAAGGUAACGGCUUACCAAGGCAACGAUGCGUAGCCGACCUGAGAGGGUGAUCGGCCACACUGGAACUGAGACACGGUCCAGACUCCUACGGGAGGCAGCAGUAGGGAAUCUUCCGCAAUGGGCGAAAGCCUGACGGAGCAACGCCGCGUGAGUGAUGAAGGUCUUCGGAUCGUAAAACUCUGUUAUUAGGGAAGAACAAAUGUGUAAGUAACUAUGCACGUCUUGACGGUACCUAAUCAGAAAGCCACGGCUAACUACGUG
rnacentral:rRNA from 1 species